rnacentral:sRNA from 1 species
GAUCAGGCUCUCGCAGCGCUCAAGGCGCAC